rnacentral:rRNA from 1 species
CCUACGGGAGGCAGCAGUGAGGAAUAUUGGUCAAUGGGCUUACGCCUGAACCAGCCAUGCCGCGUGCAGGAAGACGGCUCUAUGAGUUGUAAACUGCUUUUGUACAAGGGUAAACCUGAAUACGUGUAUUCAGCUGAAAGUACUGUACGAAUAAGGAUCGGCUAACUCCGUGCCAGCAGCCGCGGUAAUACGGAGGAUCCAAGCGUUAUCCGGAUUUAUUGGGUUUAAAGGGUGCGUAGGCGGAUUGAUAAGUUAGAGGUGAAAUGUCCGAGCUUAACUCGGGAACUGCCUCUAAUACUGUUGAUCUAGAGAGUAGAUGCGGUAGGCGGAAUGUAUGGUGUAGCGGUGAAAUGCUUAGAGAUCAUACAGAACACCGAUUGCGAAGGCAGCUUACCAAUCUAUAUCUGACGUUGAGGCACGAAAGCGUGGGGAGCAAACAGGAUUAGAUACCCGAGUAGUC